GCGGGCGGCGGCGCGGCGCGGCGAGGCGAGGCGACCUCCCGCCCCUGCUGGCCGCAGGUGCUGCUCCUGCCGGCGGUCGGGAGCGACUCGGCGCUAAAGCUGGUGCUGGAGGAGAGAAUUUAAUAGGCAGGAAACUGUUAAAGAAGGAGAUUAGAAAAGCAUUGUAAAGCUGGAGCUGCUGCAAGUGACACAAAAAGGGAGCCUUUCUUGAUACUCCAUAUAGGACUGGCUGUAGAGCAAAGCAGGACUUGUCUGACUUUUCUGGACAAAUCUAUAGGGACUUCUGGACUAUGGGCACCUAUAGACAUGUGGACACCUCUGGCUUCUCUCUCUAUAGCGCAGCUCCCUUGAUCUCUGCACAGCGGUGCAUCUCACUGGAGCAUCAUGGGCAAGAAAAUGGCUGCUUUCCAUGA
rnacentral:lncRNA from 1 species